CCAACCCUCGCAGGCUUCGGUUCCACACGUUGCUUCGCUGUUGUCGCCGCCGCCGGCCGAAGGCGAUGGCACCGAAAAGGCUGGCGAGACGAGCAAGUCUUCGCUACCUCGUCGUCUCUCGUUCGGCCUCUCAAAUCGCAUCCCCCCCAUUGCACACAUUUUGGCCACCAAGCUGUUCUUCCGUGUCUGCAUACGGAGAAGAAACACAACAUCGAACUCCGCAAGUAACGUGUUCGACCAAAUGACACCGUCACGUCGAGGCGGAGUUACUUGACCCAACCACUCCUCCGACUCCAUUUUCUCCGGCAUUAGCAGCCGCAGACUCGAUCGUUUGCAGCAGCGACCCACGAGUAGAGAGAGUGCACCGAGAACCGGUGACGAAGUCACGAGUCAGAGUUGAGGGGCUUUGACAAGUCUAAGAUCUCCAGGGUCGAUGCUUCAAAUCUAGAGAGUGACAGAGAGAUGCGUGUGAGACUGAGACUGUCGAAGAGUUUGGCCAGGAGAUACCAGUGAUUCGUACAAGGUUGGGAGCUGAAACCAUCGCCGAUCACAUCCGUAGUAUCGAUCAUCACGGACUUCAAA